GUAGGGAAUAUUGCGCAAUGGACGAAAGUCUGACGCAGCGACGCCGCGUGAGCGAUGAAGGCCUUAGGGUCGUAAAGCUCUGUUGAAUGGGAAGAAAAAAAUGACGGUACCAUUCGAGGAAGGACCGGCUAACUUCGUGCCAGCAGCCGCGGUAAUACGAGGGGUCCUAGCGUUGUUCGGAAUCAUUGGGCGUAAAGGGUGUGUAGGUGGCCAUGUAAGUCAGGUGUGAAAGCCCCGGGCUCAACCCGGGAAGUGCACUUGAUACUGCGUGGCUUGAGUACCGAAAAGGGUAGUGGAAUUCCAGGUGUAGUGGUGAAAUACGUAGAUAUCUGGAGGAACACCGGUGGCGAAGGCGGCUACCUGGUCGAGUACUGACACUGAGACACGAAAGCAUGGGGAUCAAACAGGAUUAGAAACCCGUGUAGUCC
rnacentral:rRNA from 1 species